rnacentral:rRNA from 1 species
CUGGGAGGACCAUCUCCUAAGGCUAAAUACUCUCUAGUGACCGAUAGUGAACCAGUACCGUGAGGGAAAGGUGAAAAGCACCCCGGAAGGGGAGUGAAAUAGAACCUGAAACCGUGUGCUUACAAGUAGUCAGAGCCCGUUAAUGGGUGAUGGCGUGCCUUUUGUAGAAUGAACCGGCGAGUUACGAUUUGAUGCAAGGUUAAGCAGUAAAUGUGGAGCCGUAGCGAAAGCGAGUCUGAAUAGGGCGUUUAGUAUUUGGUCGUAGACCCGAAACCAGGUGAUCUACCCUUGGUCAGGUUGAAGU